rnacentral:misc_RNA from 1 species
AAAGUCGUAACAAGGUCUCCGUAGGUGAACCUGCGGAGGGAUCAUCAAAGAAUAACACAUUCUAAAACUCCAAGUGUUGGAGGAGGAAGAAGGGGGGGGGAAAGAGAAGAAGGGGGUCAUCUAUCCAUAUCUGUGGUAGUUGGCGUUUCUUCAUCUUCUUCUUCUUCUUCUCUUCCUCUGAUGCUUCAAACAAACGAUCACAACUAAACGCUAACAGCAAGGGGGAAAAAGGAAAGGCAGAGCAAUCUGUCUUUCUUUCAAUAAAUGGUUGCCUGAUAAUCUGAUGAUUGGAAUUGGAGAAAUAAUACAUACAACUUUCAACAACGGAUCUCUUGGCUCUC